CCCAUCUACACCUUCUCCAGAGUAACUAGGGGAUAGAAACAAGAACUGGUCCAGCCAGCCGCGCUCACUUCCCAUGGAUGAAUUUUUAAAGUCAUCAUUUUACACGCCAAUAUGAGGAGCAUCGCAUUGAUGAAGUAUUUCUGUUUGGUAAUGUUAGAUAUUUAACCAGUGACUGUAAUCGGAUCUCUACAUGAUUACAGUGUCUCAGUAUAACUGCAGUACAGAGACAUUUCCUCACACCCACUAUAGUCCCUCCCACUGCAGGGGGUGCAGCUCAGACUGAAAGGGAAGGGGGGAGCUGAAGAGUGCUCAGUCUGUCAGGAACUUAACACAGAAUCCAGAGCCAGACAUGUCUCUGCUCCGUCUCUUCCUCUCGCUCCUCCUCAGCAGCGCCUCAUCCAGUACCUUACCCCGACUCAAACUGAAUCUGAGGGCUGAAAUUCAAGA